GACGAACGCUGGCGGCGUGCUUAACACAUGCAAGUCGAGCGAUGAAGCACCUUCGGGUGUGAAUUAGCGGCGAACGGGUGAGGAACACGUGAGAAAUCUGCCUUCAACACUGGGAUAACUCCGGGAAACCGGGGCUAAUACCGGAUAUGAAACCUGCGGGCAUCCGCGGGUUUGGAAAGUUUUUCGGUUGAAGAUGAUCUCGCGGCCUAUCAGCUUGUUGGUGAGGUAAUGGCUCACCAAGGCGACGACGGGUAGCCGGCCUGAGAGGGCGACCGGCAACACUGGGACUGAGACACGGCCCAGACUCCUACGGGAGGCAGCAGUGGGGAAUAUUGGGCAAUGGAGGAAACUCUGACUCAGCGACGCCGCGUGCGGGAUGAAGGCCUUCGGGUUGUAAACCGCUUUCAGCAGGGAAGAAGCGAAAGUGACGGUACCUGCAGAAGAAGCACCGGCUAACUAUGUGCCAGCCGCCGCAGUAA
rnacentral:rRNA from 1 species